rnacentral:rRNA from 1 species
GUGAGAGCAAGAGCCCGGAGAUGGAUUCUGAGACACGAAUCCAGGCCCUACGGGGUGCAGCAGGCGCGAAAACUUUACAAUGCCGGCAACGGCGAUAAGGGGACCUCGAGUGCCAGGUUACAAAUCUGGCUGUCGUGAUGCCUAAAAAGCAUUGCAUAGCAAGGGCCGGGCAAGACCGGUGCCAGCCGCCGCGGUAACACCGGCGGCUCGAGUGGUAACCGUUAUUAUUGGGUCUAAAGGGUCUGUAGCCGGCCGGAUAAGUCUCUUGAGAAAUCCAGCAGCUCAACUGUUGGGCUUUCAGGAGAUACUGUUCGGCUCGAGGCCGGGAGAGGUGAGAGGUACUUCAGGGGUAGGGGUGAAAUCUUGUAAUCCUUGAAGGACCACCAGUGGCGAAGGCGUCUCACCAGAACGGACCUGACGGCAAGGGACGAAAGCUAGGGGCACGAACCGGAUUAGAUACCCGGGUAGUCCUAGCCGUAAACGAUACUCGCUAGGUGUCGGCCACGGUGCGACCGUUGUCGGUGCCGUAGGGAAGCCGGAAGCGAGC